GGCCUCGCUUGGGCCUCUCAAUUUCUUCCCAUCACAAUUCCACCGACGGCACGCUCGUUUAAGUGGCCGCGCGUGACGAACGAGGCCACCCGGCGGGCCGCUCUGUCGACCGGUCAUCAGCGCGCGCGUCCGAAAGCCGAGCGCAGCAGGAAGUCAUUGGCCGUCUUUAACGAGCCCAUCGAGGUCUCCUCGGGGGCCCGAAGCCGCAUCAGUCCGAUGACUCAUCGCUUGAGGGGUUUUUUUUUGGUCACCGCAAGAUGGCCUCUCCCUUGGUGCCAUGGAAACUUCAAGUUUGCGGGACCUUGGAGCUUUGGGCGUGGUCAUUUGUCAGCCGUCUUAUCCUCGGCGGACGUGAUCGCGCGACGCCUCCGCUUCGUCGUCUUCAUCACAUGGGUGCAUCGUUCCAGACUGACGCCGCCCCCGUCCGUGGAACAGAUUGGCGGAGCGCCUCGCGGCUGCGGAGAACUUGGAUUUGAACAACAUCAAAGUCUUAGGCCAACAUUUUCCCCUUUGAUUGACCUUUCGCUCCUUCUACCCCCCCCCCCGAAAAAAAAACUAACCGACUGGCACUCUGGUCCCAGUUCCCACCCCCAACCACCCCCGCCCUGUUGCCCUCGGCGACAGCAAAUUGGAGCC